ACCUUUCAUCCUGAGCAGCUCCUAAGCAUUUGGCCAUUCUUCCUCAUCCUUGACUCUAAACUCUCCCAUACAGGUAAUUGCUUAAGACAAUGCUUACCCUCCUUAGGGGGUCCAACACCCUAUCGAGGGGCUUCUCGGGGCUUUGGGGUUCUCUUUAGGGCCUGGAAGUCCCUAUAUUUUGCCAUGAUGGGUUGAUGCUUAAGAUAUCAUCGACUCUCAACUCUCCAAUACAGGUAAUUGCCUAAGAUAAGGCUUAACCUCCUUAGGGGAUCCAACACCCUUUCGAGGGGCUUCUCGGACCUGAAAGUAUCUUAUAUUUGGCCAUGAUAGGUUGAUGCUUAAAAUGGGGAGUGGUAUGAUAGAGAGCAUUGUUGAGCCAUGUCAUGGAUGCUUUCUUUUGGGGACUUAGAUCUCCUGAUACAGGAAUUUGGUUAGUUACCUGAGUUUGUUUCCCCUUUCACCACUUCUUGGUUUCCUCUAUAGUCACUCUUAUUUCUUCAGUCUUCCUUCUUUUUUUGCCUUUCCUCUUUACCACCUCUCUCUCCAACCCAUUUUUAAAAACCCUACAUUGUGGUCGUUGGUUGUGCAUCAAUCGCCACCAGUAUACCACCAAGCUUUUACCAAUCUCCUUUAGUUUAGGUUGAUGCAUUGCUCCAACCUCACUUUGCGAGGAUAUCCUUGAGGGGAUGGUGAUUAUUGAGGGUCAUGGCGAGAGGUUCGGGUCCAGCGGAGGAGUUCAAAGUGUUUGAUAACUGUGGAACCUGCUUUGAACGGCUUAUUUGGGAUCUUUGGUAUUAUGUAAUCAUGCACGGUGAAUAUAUUUAAUUUUUUUUUUUUCUUUUACCAACCGGUCCGUUUUAAAAUUUCUGGAAUUAAAAUAUUAAUAGUGUUGAUAGAAAUAAACACAGAAUAAAUAAAUAAAAUUAAAAUAAAAUACUUUCAAUAAAAUAAUAAUUUUGAAGUGAUAGUUCAUUGUGUCAAAAACUAAUAAUUAUUAUUUUCCCAUAAUGAUUAGUAUUAUACCCAACGUUAACUUCACAUUUUCUUGAGGAUGCCAAACAAUUGGAGGAAUAUGAUGACCCUAACUUUUCUGAAAUUGUAAAAUAAUAACACUAAUAAUAAAUAAAAUAAAACAAAGUGCUUACAACUGGGUGGCUUAGAUUACAACCUAACAAAAUAUUUCCAAACAAUUGGUAUUAUUUUUGUUUAAAUUGGUGCUAGUCUAUUUUUAUAGUGUAGACAUUAUGGUCUACACUUCCUUUGCACUAUGUUUUACUUUAAAAGAGAUGUUUAGGGCCUUACAUGGUAACCCAACAACCACGUUCAUUAAUUAAGACACCUUUUAUAAGAGGUGUUAAAAUUUUAAAAUAUCUCUCUCUCUUGCAAUACUCUCUCUACUAAAAAGGUAUUUUAACUUGAGAAAGUCUUUCUCUUAUGCCUCUAAAUCACACUCUUGCUUUAGCUAUACAUGGAACUGAAAGCGAUUUAACCGGCCUAACCGUAAAUUGGUCGAUUCUACUGCUCUAAUAGGGCAAGUCUCGAGUGGUCAAAAAAAUGUUAAAAUAAAUAAAUAAAUAAAUAAAAAAAGUCUACUAAAAAAUGAAAACAUAAAAAGAAUGAGUAAAACAAAACACAUUAAAAUAAAGUUGAAAAUUAAUUUUAAAAAAAUAGAUUUUAACCUAUUUUAUAUUUUCCAAAAGCUAUUUUUAAUUUUUUUAAAAAAGAUACGAAAAUAUAAAAGUGAGUAUUAAUGACCAAAAUAAGUUUUAAUCUUUCCCAUAAUGUAAAGAAUAUUUAAAAAUGCAUUACCAAUCAAAUUCUUUAAUUUUAAGAAUCUAUAUACAAUUUAUUUUUUUAUUUUUUAAAAAAUACCUGUUGAUCAUCCUAACUGCUCAAAACCAGAACCGGCCACUAGCUGGUCCGAUCUAACUAAAUAGUUAGUGGUUAGAUUGGUGAUUUUACAAACAAUGGCUUACACUGCAUCACCUCACACUCUCUCUUUAGACGUCUCACAAUCCCCGCCCUUUCUCUCUCAUAGCAUUAAGCUUCAUGGCCUUUCAGUUUGGAGCGAAAACAGUUGGGUCACAAAGAAUAAUGAAGGUAGCCAUUGAAUAC
rnacentral:lncRNA from 1 species